GACGAACGCUGGCGGCGUGCUUAAUACAUGCAAGUCGAACGGACAGGCCCUGCUUUUGUGGGUUGCUCGAGUGGCGAACGGGUGAGUAUCACGCGAGUAACCUGCCCUUGACUUUGGGAUAACUUCAGGAAACUGGGGCUAAUAUCGGAUAGGAGCUCCUGCUGCAUGUUGGGGGUUGGAAAGUUUCGGCGGUUGGGUAUGUACUCGCGGCUUAUCAGCUUGUUGGUGGGGUAGUGGCUUACCAAGGCUUUGACGGGUAGCCGGCCUGAGAGGGUGACCGGCCACAUGGGGACUGAGAGACGGCGCAGAAUGGUACGGGAGGCAGCGGGCGAGAGUAUGGCGGAGUAAGGGGAAGCCAGAGACGACAACGCCGGGAGCGGAAUGACGGGCUUCGAGUUAUAAACAGCUGUGGAAGGUAACGAGGCGGGAGUGACGGUAAUGAGUAAAGAAGCAACGGCUAACUACGUG
rnacentral:rRNA from 1 species